UACAGAGGGGGCAAGCGUUAUUCGGAAUUAUUGGGCGUAAAGGGCGCGUAGGCGGCCUUUCAAGUGACGGGUGAAAGCCCUCGGCUUAACCGAGGAACUGCCUGUCAGACUGGAAGGCUUGAGACCGGGAGAGGUGAGUGGAAUUCCCAGUGUAGCGGUGAAAUGCGUAGAUAUUGGGAGGAACACCGGUGGCGAAGGCGGCAUCCUGGACCGGCAUUGACGCUGAGGCGCGAAAGCCAGGGGAGCAAACGGG
rnacentral:rRNA from 1 species